ACCUUUUGUAUAAUGGGUCAGCGACUUAUAUUCUGUAGCAAGGUUAACCGAAUAGGGGAGCCGAAGGGAAACCGAGUCUUAACUGGGCGUUAAGUUGCAGGGUAUAGACCCGAAACCCGGUGAUCUAGCCAUGGGCAGGUUGAAGGUUGGGUAACACUAACUGGAGGACCGAACCGACUAAUGUUGAAAAAUUAGCGGAUGACUUGUGGCUGGGGGUGAAAGGCCAAUCAAACCGGGAGAUAGCUGGUUCUCCCCGAAAGCUAUUUAGGUAGCGCCUCGUGAAUUCAUCUCCGGGGGUAGAGCACUGUUUCGGCAAGGGGGUCAUCCCGACUUACCAACCCGAUGCAAACUGCGAAUACCGGAGAAUGUUAUCACGGGAGACACACGGCGGGUGCUAACGUCCGUCGUGAAGAGGGAAACAACCCAGACCGCCAGCUAAGGUCCCAAAGUCAUGGUUAAGUGGGAAACGAUGUGGGAAGGCCCAGACAGCCAGGAUGUUGGCUUAGAAGCAGCCAUCAUUUAAAGAAAGCGUAAUAGCUCACUGGUCGAGUCGGCCUGCGCGGAAGAUGUAACGGGGCUAAACCAUGCACCGAAGCUGCGGCAGUGACGCUUAUGCGUUGUUGGGUAGGGGAGCGUUCUGUAAGCCUGUGAAGGUGUGCUGUGAGGCAUGCUGGAGGUAUCAGAAGUGCGAAUGCUGACAUAAGUAACGAUAAAGCGGGUGAAAAGCCCGCUCGCCGGAAGACCAAGGGUUCCUGUCCAACGUUAAUCGGGGCAGGGUGAGUCGACCCCUAAGGCGAGGCCGAAAGGCGUAGUCGAUGGGAAACAGGUUAAUAUUCCUGUACUUGGUGUUACUGCGAAGGGGGGACGGAGAAGGCUAUGUUGGCCGGGCGACGGUUGUCCCGGUUUAAGCGUGUAGGCUGGUUUUCCAGGCAA
rnacentral:rRNA from 1 species